UUGACCUCGGAUCAGGUAGGGAA
rnacentral:rRNA from 1 species